rnacentral:rRNA from 1 species
CCCUUAGAUGUUCUGGGCCGCACGCGCGCUACACUGAUGCAUUCAACGAGUCUAAAACCUGGUCUGAUAGGGCUGGGUAAUCUUUUGAAAGUGCAUCGUGAUUGGGAUAGAUGAUUGCAAUUCUUCAUCUUCAACGAGGAAUGCCUAGUAAACGCAAGUCAUCAGCUUGCAUUGAUUACGUCCCUGCCCUUUGUACACACCGCCCGUCGCUACUACUGAUUGGAUGUUUAAGCGAGGUUCUCGAACUGCUAGUGACUGAUCUUCGGUGAGGUCGCAGUGUGGGAAGUGAACCGAGCUUUGGUGUCUAGAGGAAGUAAAAGUCGUAACA